rnacentral:rRNA from 1 species
ACUGGCAGGCUAGAGUCUUGUAGAGGGGGGUAGAAUUCCAGGUGUAGCGGUGAAAUGCGUAGAGAUCUGGAGGAAUACCGGUGGCGAAGGCGGCCCCCUGGACAAAGACUGACGCUCAGGUGCGAAAGCGUGGGGAGCAAACAGGAUUAGAUACCCUGGUAGUCCACGCCGUAAACGAUGUCGAUUUGGAGGUUGUGCCCUUGAGGCGUGGCUUCCGGAGCUAACGCGUUAAAUCGACCGCCUGGGGAGUACGGCCGCAAGGUUAAAACUCAAAUGAAUUGACGGGGGCCCGCACAAGCGGUGGAGCAUGUGGUUUAAUUCGAUGCAACGCGAAGAACCUUACCUGGUCUUGACAUCCACAGAACUUUCCAGAGAUGGAUUGGUGCCUUCGGGAACUGUGAGACAGGUGCUGCAUGGCUGUCGUCAGCUCGUGUUGUGAAAUGUUGGGUUAAGUCCCGCAACGAGCGCAACCCUUAUCCUUUGUUGCCAG